rnacentral:rRNA from 1 species
CAGCCGCCGCGGUAAUACCGGCGGCCCGAGUGGCGGCCACUAUUAUUGGGCCUAAAGCGUCCGUAGCCGGGCUGGUAAGUCCCCCGGGAAAUCUGGCGGCUUAACCGUCAGAAUUCCGGGGGAUACUGCCAGCCUAGGGACCGGGAGAGGCCGGGGGUAUUCCCGGGGUAGGGGUGAAAUCCUGUAAUCCCGGGAGGACCACCUGUGGCGAAGGCGCCCGGCUGGAACGGGUCCGACGGUGAGGGACGAAGGCCAGGGGAGCGAACCGGAUUAGAUACCCGGGUAGUCCUGGCUGUAAACGAUGCGGACUUUGUGUCGGACAAGCUAUGAGCUUGUCCGGUGCCGGAGGGAAACCGUUAAGUCCGCCGCCUGGGGAGUACGGCCGCAAGGCUGAAACUUAAAGGAAUUGGCGGG